CAUUUUAAUCUGCAGCAGAGGCUCUAUGAAAUGGUACUUCCUCCCUCUGUUGUCCACAAAACAACACAGGGACUGAACAACUUGACCUGCAGCCACCUAGGCCUGGGGCCUGUUGCACAAAAGUAGAAUUAAGACAUCCGGGAUAAAUGACUCAGCUGAGCUCAAUGAAGCCAAAACAUGUGCGUCCAGGCUUAAUUGGUUGCACAAAGACCAAGCCAGGAUGAGCAGACACGGAUUCAUUAAGCCAGGUGAAACCAAUCCUGGAUAGGUGCGCGCUCACGGCUCACUCAAAUAGACCCCGCCACAGAUCACAGAUUAACUGAUUUACCAUGGCAACUAGAGCCGCGUACUUUUCCCCGUCGGAAGCACAAAUCCUCAUGGAGGCAUACGAGGAGGUAAAAGAUAUAAUUAAGAAGAAAGGCAACACCGCCACAGUGAUAAAGCAAAGAGAAAAAGCGUGGCAAAGUAUUGCAGACCGCCUGAAUGCGUAAGUAGUGCACAAUUACACACUCACCGCUCCGCUGAAACAUCACAAUUACAAUUCAAAUAUUUAAUUCACAUCUCCAAAAAUGCAGUUGUACUGUAAUUAUGAAACGGUUAAAUUUUUAAUUGAAAUACACUGCAGAUAUGAGUGAAAUUGUGUAAAGUAACUCCAUCACACUGUAUAAAGCUAUGAUACAUUUUUUGAUAUUUUUACUGAAAACAAGACAAAAAUACCAAGUAAUUUUUUGCAGUGUGACUCCAUUAAAUGUGUGUGUGUGUGUGUGUGUGUGUGUGUGUGUGUGUGUGUGUGUGUGUGUGUGUGUGUAGAUUAAACAUGAACGGGCCAAAACGGACAUGGCAGCAGGUCAAAAUCAAAUACAAGAACAUUCUGCAGAAUGCAGUGAAAAAGAAUACCCACAGACAAGGCACGGGUGGUGGGUCACCAAAGGCUGACCUUACCCCAGCAGAGGACAUGGCCUUGGAGCUAAAUAAAGGCAGGCCCGUCUUAGAGGGGAUCCCUGGGGGGAAAGAGACGAGCAUAGGUUCCUCCCAAGAUGCCACCCGCUUCAUUCAAGGUAUGUCCUUCCAUCUCUACAUGGGAUACAACCACAUUCAUAUUGAAUCAAUUUGGACUGUCUGACUUUGGUUUACCUAUUGCCUGGCAGCACUGUGUUCCUGUUAGAGCCACCAGCACAAGCACCAGACGAUGCUGAUCCAGGUGAAGGCCCCAGUGCAGCAGCAACAGCACAUGAUGGAGACGAUGAUGAGGAGGAGACCAUCUCUCUGGAUUCCAGAAGGCAUGAGGUAUCAUGUUAAGACUGUGAAAGUACUAUUUACUCUACAAUGGUGAGGAGUCCUCAUCAAAAUCAAAAAAUCUAAUUUAUUUUACAGGACCCAGAUGCUAUACAGUGGGAAAACCAGCCUGGCAACAUAGUGCGUAUUAAUAAAAGGACACCACAUCCUGCCAAAUUCCAGCUGCGCUAAUUGUAUUGUGUUCACAGAGCUCACAAGCUAUCAGAAAGUUGUAUGGCAACCACCUCCGGCGCCAAAUAGAACUGGCAGACAUAGACAUUCAGUACAAGAAGAAAAAGAUGGAAAAUCUUGCACUGGAGUCCGAAAUAAAAAAGAGGACAAUUAGGAAACUGGACCUUGAAAUAAAAAAACUUGAGAGGGAGCUCCAAGAAGAUGACACAGCUCAAAAUAAAAAUUAGCACCAGGUGUGGCCACUAGCCUAUAUGAAGGCCCAAAAUUGUGUGUUCCUUUCUGCUCUGACAAUGGCAUGCCCAUUCGUGCGAGAUGUGGUGGAUGAAGAAGCACUUGUGCUGAGGAGAGCCUUCAGGCGAGAAAGGGUCUUCAGGGACCGGUUGGACCCACUGGCCUUCCCUGAUGACCAUCUAUAUGAAAGAUACAGGUUUUCUGCAGAUGGCAUCAGGUAUCUAUGCAGACUACUGGGUCCCAGGAUUAAGCACCGCACUGCACGGAGCCAUGCACUGAGUGUGGAGCAAAUGGUUUGUGUGGCCUUGCGCUUUUUUGCUAGUGGAGCCUUCCUGUACUCAGUGGGGGAUGCAGAACAGCUGAACAAGGCCACAAUUUGCCGCACAAUAAGGAGUGUGUGUCUGGCUAUCAAAGCAUUAGCAGAUGUCUUCAUCUCCUUCCCUGGCCACAGAAGACUCUGUGACAUCAAAGAGGAGUUCUAUAGGAUUGCAGAUGGUCUGCAAUGCUGACUGUGUGAUCAGCAAUGUUGUGGCAAAAUGGCCUGGCUCAGUCCAUGACUCCAGAAUCUUUCGGGCCUCUGAAAUCUAUCAGUGCCUA